rnacentral:rRNA from 1 species
AGCAGCCGCGGUAAUUCCAGCUCCAAUAGCGUAUAUUAAAGUUGCUGCAGUUAAAAAGCUCGUAGUUGAAUUUCGGGACUAAUAUGUCGGUCGUGCCUCGGUACGUACUGGCAUUGUUGGUUUCUCCCUUCUGACGAACCAUGAUGUCAUUUAUUUGGUGUCGUGGGAAAUCAGGACUGUUACUUUGAAAAAAUUAGAGUGUUUAAAGCAGGCUCACGCUUGAAUACAUUAGCAUGGAAUAAUGAAAUAGGACGUUUGAUUCUAUUUUGUUGGUUUCUAGGAUCGACGUAAUGAUUAAUAGGGAUAGUUGGGGGCAUUAGUAUUCAAUUGUCAGAGGUGAAAUUCUUGGAUUUAUUGAAGACUAACUACUGCGAAAGCAUUUGCCAAGGAUGUUUUCAUUAAUCAAGAACGAAAGUUAGGGGAUCGAAGACGAUCAGAUACCGUCGUAGU